rnacentral:rRNA from 1 species
UACAGAGGGAGCUAGCGUUGUUCGGAAUUACUGGGCGUAAAGCGCACGUAGGCGGCUUUGCAAGUUAGAGGUGAAAGCCCGGGGCUCAACUCCGGAAUUGCCUUUAAAACUGCAUCGCUAGAAUUGUGGAGAGGUAAGUGGAAUUCCGAGUGUAGAGGUGAAAUUCGUAGAUAUUCGGAAGAACACCAGUGGCGAAGGCGACUUACUGGACACAUAUUGACGCUGAGGUGCGAAAGCGUGGGGAGCAAACAGG